rnacentral:snoRNA from 1 species
AUCCAUGAUGAUAUCACAUUUUUACUAUUAUUUCUGGUACCUCUUAUGUCAGUCGCGCUUCUUUGCAGGUGCGGCGAUGAUCUAAACGGACUUCUGAUC